AACGAACGCUGGCGGCAUGCCUAACACAUGCAAGUCGAACGAAGGCUUCGGCCUUAGUGGCGCAUGGGUGCGUAACGCGUGGGAAUCUGCCCUUUGCUUCGGAAUAACAGGUAGAAAUGACUGCUAAUACCGGAUGAUGUCGCAAGACCAACGAUUUAUCGGCAAAGGAUGAGCCCGCGUAGGAUUAGCUAGUUGGUGGGGUAAAGGCCUACCAAGGCGACGAUCCUUAGCUGGUCUGAGAGGAUGAUCAGCCACACUGGGACUGAGACACGGCCCAGACUCCUACGGGAGGCAGCAGUGGGUAAUAUAGGACAAUGGGCGGAAGGCUGAUCCAGCUAGGCCGCGUGAGUGAUGAAGGCCUUAGGGUUGUAAAGCUAUUUUACCCGGGAUGAUAAUGACAGUACCGGGAGAAUAAGCACCGGCUAACUCCGUG
rnacentral:rRNA from 1 species